GAGUUUGAUUCUGGCUCAGGACGAACGCUGGCGGCGUGCUUAACACAUGCAAGUCGAACGGGAUCCAAGUGGGCUUGCUUGCUUGGUGAGAGUGGCGAACGGGUGAGUAACACGUGAGUAACCUGCCCCCUUCUUUGGGAUAACGACCAGAAAUGGUUGCUAAUACUGAAUAUUCACGCAUUGUCGCAUGGUGGUGUGUGGAAAGGUUUUUCUGGUGGGGGAUGGGCUCGCGGCCUAUCAGCUUGUUGGUGGGGUGAUGGCCUACCAAGGCUUUGACGGGUAGCCGGCCUGAGAGGGUGACCGGUCACACUGGGACUGAGAUACGGCCCAGACUCCUACGGGAGGCAGCAGUGGGGAAUAUUGCACAAUGGGCGAAAGCCUGAUGCAGCGACGCCGCGUGAGGGAUGACGGCCUUCGGGUUGUAAACCUCUUUCAGUAAGGACGCAGGCCUAGGCUUUUGUUUGGGGUGACUUACUACAGAAGAGCGCCGG
rnacentral:rRNA from 1 species